rnacentral:rRNA from 1 species
UACGUAGGGUGCGAGCGUUGUCCGGAGUUACUGGGCGUAAAGGGUGUGUAGGCGGUUCUUUAAGUUUGGUGUGAAAUCUCCCGGCUCAACCGGGAGGGUGCGCCGAAUACUGAGGGACUAGAGUAUGGGAUGGGAAAGUGGAAUUCCUGGUGUAGCGGUGAAAUGCGUAGAUAUCAGGAGGAACACCUGUGGUGUAGACGGCUUUCUGGACCAUAACUGACGCUGAGACACGAAAGCGUGGGUAGCAAACAGG